AUUGAACGCUGGCGGCAGGCCUAACACAUGCAAGUCGAACGGUAACAGGAAACGGCUUGCUGUUUCGCUGACGAGUGGCGGACGGGUGAGUAAUGUCUGGGAAACUGCCUGAUGGAGGGGGAUAACUACUGGAAACGGUAGCUAAUACCGCAUAACGUCGCAAGACCAAAGAGGGGGACCUUCGGGCCUCUUGCCAUCGGCUGUGCCCAGGUGGGUUUAGCUAGUGGGUGGGGUAACGGCUCACCUAGGCGACGAUCACUAGCUGGUCUGAGAGGAUGACCAGCCACACUGGAACUGAGACACGGUCCAGACUCCUACGGGAGGCAGCAGUGGGGAAUAUUGCACAAUGGGCGCAAGCCUGAUGCAGCCAUGCCGCGUGUAUGAAGAAGGCCUUCGGGUUGUAAAGUACUUUCAGCGGGGAUGAAGGGAGUAAAGUUAAUACCUUUGCUCAUUGACGUUACCCGCAGAAGAAGCACCGGCUAACUCCGUG
rnacentral:rRNA from 1 species